AUAGCCAUUUUCCUGGAAAAUAACUUCCGGGGGAAAAUAUUUUCCGGAGAUGGUCAAUUUUCCGUGAAACGAACGGAGCCUAAGUGAUAUUUUAUUGAAGAUUGGAAGUUUAAGGAUGAAAUAUCAAGAGGGGAUAUCGCACGUGGGGCAUAUCUUGAGUGAUAUAUUCAAUGUUUCAAGACAAGAAAUUCUUCAUGGUAGAUUUCAUAUGUGAGCUGGAAAAGAAAAGAAACAGGAAAUAAAGAAAAUUGGCUUACAAAUGCAUGAUACGCAAGCGUGAGGAAGGAAAAGGAAUUUCAAUAUAUAUCAUGGAUGCUCUCAGACAGGAUUUUGUGCGUCCAUUGGAGCCAAAAAAGAAAGGAAAGAAAUAAAUUAUAGGCCGGGAGAUUUCGGUCACGUCCUUGACCUAUAAAAGAUGGGCGCACUAUAGACAAAAGGGGGGAUGGCUACAAUUCUGAGAGCAUAGAGAGACACACGUGAGAAGGGACGAUUGAGAGAAGGCACGCUCGCGAGAGCUGAACAAGUCACGGUUGAAACCCCUUCACGGCCAUGAAUUUGUCAAGUUCGUGGCCGUGCCUCGACGCCGACCCUGCUGCCAAUCGUCCGUUGCAUUGACAACGGCCAGCUUUGUCACGAUCCUCUCCGAUGAUGAAGUAGCAGCGUGCACUCCCUCGUCUGGCGGUGAUCAACAAUCACGAAGUUUUGGAGGCCACACGUUGAUACCCGGCCACAAUUGAAAAAAAAAAGGAACGGCAGCCCAAGAGCGAGAGAAAGAAAACAGAGAGAGUCCUCUCUAGGCUGAACCAAGGAGACUCCACGUUGCACAAGGUCCCUCGCCGCCGCAGUGCUGUGCCCGAGCCAUCUGAGUUGCCAUUGCUGCAACGUCCUUGCCGCUUCGCCCCUAGCAGUAACGACAGACUUGCUGCCGUGACCUCACUGCUACCACGAUAAGAUGUUGAUCUGGUGCUGCCCUCCUGCUGUCGUGACCAAGCCUUAACGAGUCCCGCCCAACUGAGACGCUGAUGGAGCUGCUGCCUUCCUCGUGCUUGACUACCGUUUGAUUCGCUGCUCCCCCAACGAGACCGUGUUUUCUCCUUGCAUCAAUCACCCGAGCAGUCAUCACACCCUCGAUGAUCCACGAUCUGCCGCUUCUACUGUAUCGCGAACCAGCGUACCCUAGAGAUGCUUGAACCCCCGUCACUCUGGUUUAGAGUGAACGAAGACUCCUGCGGAUUCCAUCUAGUGUGAAGUUUUCGCCGAGGUCCAGCAAGGCCAAAAAUCUCCCGAACAAUGUGAAUAUCUCGUGGUAUUUUUGCGGCCACCGCUUGCAAGCUUGAAGUCCACGGUCAAAAGAAUGAUUAUAAUCUCGUUUGAAUAAUUCUUAGUGGUGGAUUUGUUUCUCUUUUAAGUUUUGUCCAGAUUUUACUAUAACAUUGUGGGCUUUGUGAUUUUGUUCCAUGCAAGCAAAAGAACGGUUCCUUUUGGCGAUGAGAUCACGAAGAAUUCGGGUGCGUGGCGACUAUGGACAGUGCGGUCCACCGUGUAUACCGCCGACCGCUGACCACCUCACACCGAGUCCCAAUUGCUGGCCACCCACUGAGAAUGGCAAGCCACCACGGUUCGCGGUCCCAAACCGCGAGUUGCCCGUCGACGUUGAUGCCAAGCUCGAGCCAGCGUUGAUAAUCCCUUUAAGCCGAUCUGUUGAAAGUUUCUAUUUUCGCAGGUUCAUUGGCUGUGACCCACCCGCAUCGUUGCUCACCAACCUCCACCAUCGAGUGCCGCAACCCUUUCCCGGUCAUCUGUCAAGCGGAUUCCAUUCGGUUUAAAUUUGGUAACAUUAUUUGGAGAACUGGCUCUUUUCGGCACCGAAAACUAACCGGCGAAUUGAGCUGGCCAAAGGUUGAUACAAACAGGACGCUUGCUUCAUAAGAGUACGAGUGCAACUCUAUUGUAUUCCUCACCAUGAGUUACAACACUGUCAAGAUAAAUGAGGGAAACCAAUUUCCAAUUUGUUGACUAGUCAGAAAUAGCAUGUUCCCCCAACUUGUUGUCCAGGCCACGAGGUUUCUUCUCUCGUCCUCCACUCAGCAAAGAGAUUGGGUUGUGUCCCAUAAAGAGUUCAACAAGGACCCCUGCCAAAUUGUACACAUUAUUAGGAUUCGGCACACAACCACAAGAAAAAAGAAAAAAAAAAAGAGUAAAGCGAGAAAGAAAAUUCGAGACA